rnacentral:lncRNA from 1 species
UGGGUAACAAUUUCAUUAAUCAUUAGUGCUAAAGAUUAUUUGGUAACAUAAUAUACAUAAUAAAAGAUUAAGAAAAUCAUAAAUAAGGAAUAUAAUAAAAAAGUAAAAAAAAAAACUGAAAUUAUAAAAACAAGGGAAAGGGGUGAGUCGAAAAACGGCAGCUAUGGACAAAAACGGCCAAACCAGAGCGGUGAGUGAGACCCAGCGAUGAGAACCAGGGGCUGAGGACACCACGAAGCAGACGUAUGGCGGAGGAGGAAGACGCGACGGUGACAGGGUGGGUGAGUCGUGAUUGCGACAAAAGGGAGUGUAUUCCAGCGAAAUCUCAUACCCGCGGGCUAAUUCCGAUUAUGCUUCAUGGAAUCAUAUUGGUAUGGCUUCCUACUGCCUCUUCAUAUUUUUUACAAAUGGGUACCGUUUUCGGCGACCACGAAAAUCCUUCUCCCCGGUGAUUAGCGGUAGUCAUCGAAGAUGAGGGAAUUCCUAUCCCUUUUUAGUGUUGGGGCUGAUUCAACCGCGGGGGUCCUCGAUGAGCCAGCUUGGCAAUUUCGGACCUGAGAGCAAAGUGACUCUAGGUUUUAUGGGUCAACGUGAACCAUGUAAGUAUGAAGAAGGUGGAAUGGGGAAUGCGUAUGGGACAAAUCCCUCCCUUAUAGCUUUUGUUACCUAUUAUUGAAUUGCCCCUUCUUAAUUCCUUUUGUUGAAUUCGUUGUGUGGUUCUGUUUAUUUCAAUUAAUUAUAUGAAACUAUAAUAAGAUGCUAAAAAAACUCAAGGUAAUGUUGUCUAUCUAGGUUAUGUUCCUUUGGGUACCUCUCAAUUUUAAUAUGUUAUUUAUUAGCCGUUUGAUUACCUUAGAAUGAAUUCUCAUAUUGCUUUACAAUCUAAGAUAAAACCAACUACAGAAUGCAAACCAUUAUCCAUGACAAAAUGACCACGACUGAAUUUCACUAAAAAAACUAUGAAGUUUUAUGGUUAUGAUUAUGUCAGUCACCAUGUAAAAUCAUCUUUAAAGUAACCCAU